ensembl:snRNA U6 U6 spliceosomal RNA
GUGCUCACUUCGGCAGCACAUAUACUAAAAUUGGAACGAUACAGAGAAGAUUAGCAUGGCUCCUGCGCAAGGAUGACACGCAAAUUCAUGAAGCAUUCCAUAUUUUU